ACUUUUUCUUGGUGUCUAGUGUGAGAUGUCGGUCUUUUAUCGAAUUUCUGCCAAACUGCUUUCCAAUUUUCUCAUCAAUUACUAGUGGGGCAUUUUCUUGUACACUUAUCUGUCUUGUCCAGUGCUCCCACUCCACUUACAAGGGCCAUACCAACCCUUAACAUGACCCAGCUACCUAUUAUUUCAAAGAAAUCCAUUUAUACCAGCCUGGCUUCAGGGGCAGAGGCAGUCUUGUGACCCACUACGGGGACAGUAUCAGGUGGGGAGUUUGACUGGGGCAGUACACCUGUCAAACCGUAAUGCAAGUGUCCUAAGGCGAGCUCAGGGAGGACAGAAACCUCCCAUGGAGCAGAAGGGCAAAAGCUCGCUUGAUCUCGAUUUUCAGUAUGAAUACAGACCGUGAAAGUGGGGCCUCAUGAUCCUUCUGACCUUUGGGUCAGAAG
rnacentral:ncRNA from 1 species